rnacentral:rRNA from 1 species
AAGGCUUUUGGGUUGUAAACCUCUUUUCUCAAGGAAGAAGCACUGACGGUACUUGAGGAAUCAGCAUCGGCUAACUCCGUGCCAGCAGCCGCGGUAAUACGGAGGAUGCAAGCGUUAUCCGGAAUUAUUGGGCGUAAAGCGUCCGCAGGUGGUACAUCAAGUCUGCUGUCAAAGACUAGGGCUUAACCCUGGAGCGGCAGUGGAAACUGAUGAACUAGAGUACGGUAGGGGUAGAGGGAAUUCCCAGUGUAGCGGUGAAAUGCGUAGAGAUUGGGAAGAACACCAGUGGCGAAGGCGCUCUACUGGACCUGUACUGACACUCAGGGACGAAAGCUAGGGGAGCGAAAGGGAUUAGAUACCCCUGUAGUCA